AAGAUUUAUCGGUGAUGGAUGGGGAUGCGUCUGAUUAGCUUGUUGGCGGGGUAACGGCCCACCAAGGCAACGAUCAGUAGGGGUUCUGAGAGGAAGGUCCCCCCACAUUGGAACUGAGACACGGUCCAAACUCCUACGGGAGGCAGCAGUGAGGAAUAUUGGUCAAUGGACGAGAGUCUGAACCAGCCAAGUAGCGUGCAGGAUGACGGCCCUAUGGGUUGUAAACUGCUUUUAUAAGGGAAUAAAGUGAGUCUCGUGAGACUUUUUGCAUGUACCUUAUGAAUAAGGACCGGCUAAUUCCGUGCCAGCAGCCGCGGUAAUACGGAAGGUCCGGGCGUUAUCCGGAUUUAUUGGGUUUAAAGGGAGCGUAGGCCGGAGAUUAAGCGUGUUGUGAAAUGUAGACGCUCAACGUCUGCACUGCAGCGCGAACUGGUUUCCUUGAGUACGCACAAAGUGGGCGGAAUUCGUGGUGUAGCGGUGAAAUGCUUAGAUAUCACGAAGAACUCCGAUUGUGAAGGCAGCUCACUGGAGCGCAACUGACGCUGAAGCUCGAAAGUGCGGGUAUCGAACAGGAUUAGAUACCCUGGUAGUCCGCACGGUAAACGAUGGAUGCCCGCUGU
rnacentral:rRNA from 1 species